AUUUAUUUCCGCACACCCCUUCAUUUCUAAAUCAGUUCUCACCUGUGCUGGUAUUUUCUGAAGCAUAGGCUCACGUUAGGUCUCACCUGUAGGAGCUUGUGCUACCUGAGUUGAUAAUAAAAAUCAGGUAACAUUAGCAUUUACAAUAUUUGCACUGUUCAUCUUCCUUUGGAAGCUUUCUCUGAAUUUCUCUUCCAAUACUUAAUGGGCAUGUUAGAAAAGUAGUAACCUUCACUACUAGGGGACUGUCCUAUUAGCUAAAGUGUGAGCUACUGUUGAGAGCCAAUAAUGAGCUAUGCAUGAGGACUUUCUGGUGAAGACCAGGGGCUGAUUGUCCAUCUAGCUGUGGCCAUGCCAGCACUCUUAUUUACUACAUCAGGAUUGUGUAUCUAGGACUUGGCAGAAGCUUCCUGAAACUUCUUACAUUUAGAGUAAGAACACAGUAAUAAAAAUUCCAGAGCAAUGAGUACUUACUCUAUUGGGGAAAGUGCUAGGUUCUUGACAUUCUGCAGUGUAACUAACAACAUUAUUCCUAUUUUUUUUUGCAGAUGAAGAAACACAGAAUUAAGCUUAAAAAAUUAUUGUGAAUUAUUUAUUGAGAGGCAGAGGGAGGAAUCCAUGUUGUUUUUCAUUUCAAAACAUGCUUUCGCCCUCCACACUCCGCUCAGGUAUCAUAUGCAACUCUAAACUUAAAGUGCUUCAUCACUGAGAUUUAUGGAAAGAACUCAGACAAGUAUGGGGUUCUGAUACCCUUGCAUUAAACUGGGAAAUCAAGCAACCCUCUGUGAUCCACCAACAAAUGAGAAGCAGAUCUGUAAUAACCUGGAACCUGGAGACGGGGAGCUUUGUCAUUGACACCAGGGCACUGUCCUUGAGCCCCUCUGGAAGGAGCCACACAUAGUAGUUUUUCAUCACAUGCACUGCAUCCAGACUUCAGGGCAUCCGGUGUUGGACUCUCAUCUGUCAGCCUAAGCGAGACUGCAGACUUUUGGGACUGUGGCUCCCUGGGAGCACGGGAAGGUGACCAAGGAGGUGGCUCACAGCACUGAUGGCGUCGCACGCAGAAGUGGACAGCCCGCCCAAGACGACUGUUCCGAGGUUACGGCAUCUGCUCCUCCAUACUUUUCUCCCUGUACUUCUUUGCUCUUCAUGGCAAGAUAGUUUAAUAACCAAGAUUUUAUACUCACUGGUCGCUUAGGGAACUUUCCUAAAUGUUGAGUGUGUCCUGUUAAAUCUAAAUUGUUUUGUGAUCUAACAGAACUUCCAGCUCACCUGGAAGAAAAUUUCACUGAUAUCCUAAGUGUGGUUAUUUGUGCAGCUACAUAUCUGAUCCUUUCUAUCAGUUUAGGUUUUUAGAUUAUCAUAUUAGAUUUCUUGUUUAAAUCUGACAAGUCUGCAAAACCUAGAGUUAGGGUUUUACAGCUAAAUUAUAUCAGAAAUUGAAUAAGAAAACCAAAGGGAGAUAUUUUAGAAGUUUGUAGGAAAAUUUGUUUCUCUAAUAUAAUUGUCGGUAGCUUCUAGAUGGCAAUAAUUCAAUAAUGGAGUCGUGGAUAAGUAUUAUUAGUGCUCCCCUGUUGGUGAUGCCUCACACACAAGGGCUCCCACAGGGGACUCUUUUAUCCCUCCAGAGUGCACUUUUAUCUGUAAAGAAUUUGAUCAACAAUGCAUGGGCACCCAAUGUCUUCAUUAAGUAGGAAAAAAGCUCUGCGUGGGUGAGGGGGUCCUCACAAUACCAUUCGUCCCAUUACCAAUUGGAAACUGAGAAUGUUCAGGUCUACAUCUCUUAAUUUUCACGAUGGAAUAAAGUGGAGAUUUGCAGCUGGCACAAACCCCUCUGAAAGGGCGUCUUUUGUAGAAUGUUCCAUCCCUUCUUGGCACAAAGGUAAGUGAAGUUAUGAUUAAGAAGCCACUGCAAAUAUUAGUUACCAUGGCUAUGAUAGUUACCCAGCAAACUUCUUUGUUUCUCUUGCUGAUGAUGUUUUUGGCAAGAGGAUAGCUUUGGACUACUUACUGGCUGAAAAACAGUGUGGGGAGAGUUCGUAUCUCUUGUUGUACCUGUGUAAAUAUGUCUGAUGCGGUAAAUACUCAGUUAUACAAAAUCAACAAACUGCUUGGUUACAUCAAGUAGUUCUUUCUUCCAUCUUCUGACUUAUUGAUUCUUUUACUUAUCUGAGCUUAAUUGUUUUGAGGCGUGGGCUCCAAUUAAGGAGUAUGCUUACCUCUUAGUAUUAUGCCCAUAGCCAUCAAACUAGUCUUCCUGUUGUGCUAUAUCCUUUCAGGAGUCGCAGACAUUUGUGAGCAGCCAUGCCUGGUGCAUCAAAUGACUGCUCUCUGUUUAGAGCAACAAAACAUGAAGGCAGUAUAAAGAACCAUUUAAGUGACUUGGUGACAUGACUUGGGAAACCACCGGUAUUUUGUUAUAGUAACGAAAGACGGAUUAAUCCGAAAGUUUGCAUCAAGGAGUGGGGCAUUGCUGUGACUACCCUGCACCUGUGGAGGUAUGUUGGGAGUUGGGUGACACAGUUAUUUUAUUAUGCCAAAGAUGGACUGAUAUAGUAUGUAUCAAGAAACCAUACAGGGAAACAACUAAGUUUAGGGCAGUCACGAGUACAGUUCCACUAAUCAGGCAGCCAGUCCCUCACACUGGGUCUACAUAAGGCAAAUGCUUGGCUUUGAUGGAGUGAGUGAUUCUGUGCUCACUUCCAUGUUUGUAACGGUUUCUGCUUAGCUCUCUCAACUGACUCAGGGCGCUCCUGGAUUCAUGAAUUGUUCUUUGCUCAAAUAUAAUCUACUAAAGUUAAUUUGUCUAAAAUUUUCCUUUUAGCAGCAGUUUUAAAAUUAGCUAUUUUAAUAGAAAGAAAAAAAGUACACGUGUUGGUCAGUAAUUUUUACCACAGAGUUUGUAAAGAUCCUCCUAAAAUUUGAUGUCAAAAGUUUUUGAUUUUAUAUAGCAUUAUAUGAUCUCCUAAUUAGGUAGAAAUAAGAUGAAAGCUUCCAAUUCCCUUAUUUGACCUUCAGAUUUUUUCCUAAAUAUGUUAUUCAAUUUCUUUUUUCAAAUGCCCUAAACCAUCUUCUUUUUUCAGUAACAAAAAUCUUACUAAUGUCUAGUUUUAUACUUUUCUGCAUUUAUGUGGAUGUGUCCCAUUAACCACAGUCCUCUUAACCAUUUUACUACUGUGACCUUUCUUUCGGUUUCCCUUUGGGUGGGUUUGCUGGAAUGCUUCGAUCUGAAAUUUCAUUUAUUUUGUUACUCUAGGACAUUUUUAGGGUAUGCCUUUGUCAAGGGAACCAUACCAUGCGUCUUGGUUUCCUUGCCCCAAAAUCUUUUCUUCUCACAUGUGUCAUAGCCCACUUGAUUAAAACCCUUAGUCCAUUUUAUUCACAAGUACUUGAUAAUCUGAUCUCUUUUUGUACAUCUGUGGCUUGAUGUUUAUAAUGUAUUUAUUGGAUUUAAAAUGGCAUUUGUACUCUAUGUUUGUUUAUCUGGUCUGGAGUUUCUUCAUUCAUUUCAUUUGGUUGUUUAUCUUAGCUUGGGGCUCUUAUAGUAUUGAAUUUAUAUUCUUCUUAAGUUCUUUUACAGCAUGAUGUGUUUUUUGGGAAAUGAUCUUCUUUUCACUGUAUUUGUUUGCUUUUUUGUUUUUCUUAAAAUAAAUUCUUCAUCUGGUUUCUGC
ensembl:lncRNA